rnacentral:rRNA from 1 species
UACGUAGGGUGCAAGCGUUGUCCGGAAUUAUUGGGCGUAAAGAGCUCGUAGGCGGUCUGUCGCGUCGAUCGUGAAAACUUGGGGCUUAACCCUGAGCUUGCGGUCGAUACGGGCAUGACUGGAGUUCGGCAGGGGAGACUGGAAUUCCUGGUGUAGCGGUGAAAUGCGCAGAUAUCAGGAGGAACACCGGUGGCGAAGGCGGGUCUCUGGGCCGAUACUGACGCUGAGGAGCGAAAGCAUGGGUAGCGAACAGG